rnacentral:misc_RNA from 1 species
CAAAUCCUCAAAAUGCCUUCCUUCCCCGCCGCCGCCGCUGCUCCGGAGCCCCUCCUCGCCCCCUCCCCGGAUCGCUUCUGCAUGUUCCCCAUCAAAUACCCCUCCAUCUGGGAGAUGUACAAGAAGGCCGAGGCCUCCUUCUGGACGGCCGAGGAGGUCGAUCUCUCCUCCGACGUCCGCCACUGGGACACCACCCUCACCGCCGACGAGCGCCACUUCAUCUCCCACGUCCUCGCCUUCUUCGCCGCCUCCGACGGCAUCGUCCUCGAAAACCUCGCCGG